rnacentral:rRNA from 1 species
GACGAACGCUGGCGGCGUGCUUAACACAUGCAAGUCGAACGGAAAGGCCCUGCUUUUGUGGGGUGCUCGAGUGGCGAACGGGUGAGUAACACGUGAGUAACCUGCCCUUGACUUUGGGAUAACUUCAGGAAACUGGGGCUAAUACCGGAUAGGAGCUCCUGCUGCAUGGUGGGGGUUGGAAAGUUUCGGCGGUUGGGGAUGGAUUCGCGGCUUAUCAGCUUGUUGGUGGGGUAGUGGCUUACCAAGGCUUUGACGGGUAGCCGGCCUGAGAGGGUGACCGGCCACAUUGGGACUGAGAUACGGCCCAGACUCCUACGGGAGGCAGCAGUGGGGAAUAUUGCACAAUGGGCGGAAGCCGGAUGCAGCAACGCCGCGUGGGGGAUGACGGCCUUCGGGUUGGAAACCGCUUUCGCCUGUGACGAAGCGUGAGUGACGGUAAUGGGUAAAGAAGCACCGGCUAACUACGU